rnacentral:rRNA from 1 species
AGUCUGGUGCCAGCAGCCGCGGUAAUUCAGCUCCAAUAGUGUAUAUUAAAGUUGCUGCGGUUAAAAAGCUCGUAGUUGGAUUUCGGAAUGCGUUUGCGUCAAAGCUCGUCCUUGUGGCGGUGCUGGAUGUGCGCUUCCUAGCUUUGGAUAGUUGCCCGCAAGGGAAUCACAGCUUCCAAUCAUUUACUUUGAAAAAAUUAGAGUGUUCAAAGCAGGCGUAACCUUGCCAUUGAAUAUUACAGCAUGGGAUAAUAGAAUAUGACGUUGGUCUUAUUUUGUUGGUUUCUAAGGCUGAUGUAAUGAUUAAUAGGGAUAGUUGGGGUCGCUCGUAUUGAGUUGUCAGAGGUGAAAUUCUAGGAUUUACUCAAGACGAACUAGUGCGAAAGCAUUCGACAAGGAUGUUUUCAUUAAUCAAGAACGAAAGUUGGGGGAUCGAAGAUGAUCAGAUACCGUCGUAGUCUCAACCAUAAACUAUGUGGACCAAGGAUCCGAGGACGUUACAUGGAUGACUCUCCGGGCACUUUGUGAGAAAUCAUAAGUAUUUGCAUUCCGGGGGGAGUAUGGUCGCAAGGCUGAAACUUAAAGGAAUUGACGGAAGGGCACCACCAGGAGUGGAACCUGCGGCUUAAUUUGACGCAACACGGGGAAACUUACCAGGUCCGGACACUAUGAGGAUUGACAGAUUAAGAGCUCUUCUUGAUUUAGUGGGUGGUGGUGCAUGGCCGUUUUUAGUUGGUGGAGUGAUUUGUCUGGUUAAUUCCGUUAACGAACGAGACCUUAACCUAUUAAUUAGUGACGCGAAUUUGGUGGGCAACUGCCAGUCGAUUCGUGGUUGCACUUCUUAGAGGGACUCUCGGCAUCUCUAGCCGAUGGAAGUUUGAGGCAAAAACAGGUCUGUGAUGCCCUUAGAUGCCCUGGGCUGCACGCGCGUUACACUGACGAUUGCAACGAGUGAUUUCCUUGCCCGAUGGGGCUGGGUAAGCUUUGAAAAGAUCGUCGUGAUGGGGAUUGAACCUUGCAAUUAUUGUUCAUGAACGAGGAAUUCCUAGUAAGCGCAGUUCAUCAAACUGCGCUGAUUACGUCCCUGCCCUUUGUACACACCGCCCGUCGCUCCUACCGAUUGAAUGGUCCGGUGAGAACUCAGGACGGCAGUACUUUAGCUUAUCCGCAAGGGUAAGCGGGU